rnacentral:rRNA from 1 species
UACGUAGGGGGCAAGCGUUGUCCGGAUUUAUUGGGCGUAAAGAGCGUGUAGGCGGUUCGGUAGGUCCGUUGUGAAAACUCGAGGCUCAACCUCGAGACGCCGAUGGAAACCCCCGAACUAGAGUCCGGAAGAGGAGAAUGGAAUUCCUGGUGUAGCGGUGAAAUGCGCAGAUAUCAGGAAGAACACCCGUGGCGAAGGCGGCUCUCUGGGACGGUACUGACGCUGAGACGCGAAAGCGUGGGGAGCGAACAGG